rnacentral:rRNA from 1 species
CGGGGUGAGUAAUGUCUGGGAAACUGCCUGAUGGAGGGGAAUAACUGCUGGAAACGGUAGCUAAUACCGCAUAACGUCGCAAGACCAAAGAGGGGGACCUUCGGGCCUCUUGCCAUCGGAUGUGCCCAGAUGGGAUUAGCUAGUAGGUGGGGUAACGGCUCACCUAGGCGACGAUCCCUAGCUGGUCUGAGAGGAUGGCCAGCCACACUGGAACUGAGACACGGUCCAG